rnacentral:rRNA from 1 species
GUUUAUAUCAGGUAGUCGGGGCAAGAGGAAGGGUGGAGAGAGUAUUGUUUGGAAGAAGUAUUUGGUGUGUUUUAUAAAGGGUAACUGAAGAAUCAGGUAGUUUAUUAUUAGAGUAUAUUAUGUUGAAAUGCUUGUAAAGUUAAACUAAAGAGAAUAAGUACUGUAAGGGAAGUAUAUGAAGGUGUUGGAAAAGAAGAUUUAAGUUUUUGUACCUUUUGUAUCAGGGAUUUUUAAUUUGUUUUGAAGAUGUUUGUAGUUCCCGAAAUAAGGUGAUCUAAUUCAGUAAGUGUGUUUAUGUUGGAAAAUGAAGUUAAAUACUGUUUUAGUAGUGAAAUGUUAGUCGAACUUUAUAUAUCUGGUUGCUUCCGAAGUAAAUUUAAUUUGAUUUUUGUGAAUAAAGUUUACGAAAUUGGAUUUUCAGGGGGAAGAGCUCCUGAGGUUGCGGUAAAAGGGAGUUAGGUAGUUAGAAUGCGAGAUUAGGCUUAGAACCAGCCAUAUUGUCACAGCGUUUUAGGUGGCGUUAGCAGAAAAUUUGUUUUAAUUGAUUUUAUUUGGUUAUAGGAAGUUGUUGUUUGGAACAGGGUAGGAUAAGGAAUAAUGAUUAUAUUAGUAGGGAUUUAUUAGUGUUAGGGUUAGAUUGCUAGGUUGAUGUUAGGAGUUUAAGUUAGGUUUUGGUGUAUCCAAGGAACUCGACAAAUGUUAUAUUCACCUGUUUAUCAAAAACAUGUCUAUUUGAAUUUAUUUUUUAGUCUGGCCUGCCCACUGAGUUUAUUAAAGGGCCGCGGUAUUUGGACCGUGCUAAGGUAGCAUAAUCAAUAGUCUUUUAAUUGGAGUCUAGAAUGAAUGGUUGGAUGGAAUAUAAUUUGUCUGCGGGUACAGUAUCGAAUUUUACUUUUAAGUGAAAAGGCUUAAAUUAGGUAGGGGGACGAUAAGACCCUGUGAAGCUUUAUUUUUGUUAUGUUUUGUGUUCAAUAGUUGUGUGAUUGGGCUUGAAUUUAAUAAAUAUUUAAUUGGGGCGAUUGAAAUAUACUUGUAACUGUUUUUAGUGGGAAAAUAAUUGAUUUUUAGGGUGUUGAUCCUGAAUUGCGGAUUAAAAGAUUUAAGUUACUCCAGGGAUAACAGCGUAAUUUUUCUUGAGAGUCCGUAUCGACAGAAAUAUUUGCGACCUCGAUGUUGAAUUAAGAUUUCGUCAAGGUGUAGAAGUCUUGUUUGUAGGUCUGUUCGACCUUUAAAAUCUUACAUGAUUUGAGUUCAGACCGGCGUGAGCCAGGUUAGUUUCUAUCUUUUACUUUUUGUUGGUCAUUUUAGUACGAAAGGAGUGAGUGGCCGAAAUAUUUUUUGGGUUUGGAUUUACUUUAAUUGCUU